rnacentral:siRNA from 1 species
AUGAGCAUCAGAACCAUCUCUGAG